rnacentral:rRNA from 1 species
UUGGAACUGAUAUUCCAGGAAGAAUAACCGCUGAACUUUAGCAUUA